AAGAGUAAUAAAAAAGAUUUCUAAUCUUAAAAAAGUUAUUAACUAUGCUCUUU
rnacentral:tRNA from 1 species